rnacentral:sRNA from 1 species
AUUUUAGAGAGAGAAGAGAGAGAAG